rnacentral:rRNA from 1 species
GGAUGCCCUGGCAGUCAGAGGCGAUGAAGGACGUGCUAAUCUGCGAUAAGCGUCGGUAAGGUGAUAUGAACCGUUAUAACCGGCGAUUUCCGAAUGGGGAAACCCAGUGUGAUUCGUCACACUAUCAUUAACUGAAUCCAUAGGUUAAUGAGGCGAACCGGGGGAACUGAAACAUCUAAGUACCCCGAGGAAAAGAAAUCAACCGAGAUUCCCCCAGUAGCGG